GGUAAGAAUGAACAAAAAGAGCAUGGGGUCGGAUUUGAAAGUCUUCAAAUGUAGCAGAAGCUGAUAAGACAACUUCAACUAAGUCUCCUUCUUGGAUAUCUCCAGCUGAUCUCACCAACUGGAGAAUGUUUUCAGAGGUAGGGUCAUGGCGGAAGAGAAGAAUUUUGUCAUACAUUCCGUAGAAACCACAUUCAGGAAACUUCUGGUCGACGAUGGAACAAGCCAUCUCCCGGACAUGGGCCAGGCUGAAGUCCCCUGAGGAGUCCUGCAGCAACAGCACGGGCUCCCGGCUCAGCCCGAUCUGGAGGUGGAAGGCGACGCCGCCGCCAGCAGCGGCAGCAGCAGCAGCCCCGGGCGGCGGCAGCGGGCUAGGCGGGCGGAGCAGCGGAGGAGCGCUCAUCGGGACCAGCCUGCCGCGGCGCCGCGGGGCCGGGGAAGGAGACAGAGACGCGGACGCCGCGGUGAAAAGUUCGCGGCCGCCCCGAAGGCGCCGGGCGAGUUUCUUCGCGAAGUUUCAGGGAAGUCCCGGUCGAGUUGCUCCCGAGUGAAAAUGGCGAGGGGGGGGGAAUAGGGGCGGAGGACCGGAGAGGAUGCAGACAGGAAAAGGCGGCGAGAGAGGAGAGGCGCGAGGAGGGAGCAGGGCCCGGCGCCGCCGAGGUGGUGCCGUCGCUCCGGCUGUUGGCGCUGUGCACGGCGCGGGGGCGGGACGGGCCGCGCCCUCAGCUGGGCCGUGCUGCGCCGCGCCGUUUCUCUACCACACGGCGGCCGCGGCCAGGACUGAGCUCGGCUUCGCGGGCACGGGGGUGUUCUCGUGACGUGUGCUGGGGACCCGCGGGUACCGGAGCUGUGGAGGGAAGAGCAUCCCCUUCCCCUCCCGCCUCCGCUGGAUAGAACCGUCUAAGCAGCCUUCGUGCCUUCCCCGGGACGCCUUUCCGGGCCGCAGGAGGAGGUAGAGCCCGAGGAACCUCCGGUUUGUAGGCAGCACGGAGAGUUCUCAGUGCAUGGCAGGAGGAACGAGGGACAGCCAGCUCCGUAGCCGCGAUAAACAGCUGCGGUUGGUGCUGAGGCGCUCCUGGCCUCCUCAGCGCGGGAACGAGCUAUUCCUCCUGACUUUCAGGAUCAGUGCAAGUCUCACACGUCUGUAGAAGUAGCACCGAUGGCAGGCAACAUUUAAACUUAAAAACAAACAACAAAAACAGCAACAUAAUCUCCACUUGGAAAUCUGUUAAGUCAGUGUGGACAAGAAUAUUUACAUUUUAGGUACCAGAGGUACUUAAAGCAGCUCUUACUGCACCCGAGAAGAUGGCGGCACUGAGUGAAUGUGAGGAUGAAAGUUGAUGAAAUUCACCACUUGUUUCUUUACAAACUGCUUUUCUGACCAAACAUGCAGCUGCAGUACUAUUUCAUUUUGAUGAACUGGUUCCUAAGGACAUGUUUUUACUGUGGUCAGCUUACUUCCCAGCUGAGCUUUGUACACACAUGCAGCACCUUGCUGUCAGUAUUUUUGAACCCAUUUAUUCUUAAGCAAAUUUUCUGACUAAAGUCGUUGCAUUUUGAUCUAAAUCUUCUACAGAAUGCCAAACCUAAUGAAAUGGACAGCACUGUAGAUUAAGAUGAUUCCUAGCUUCCCCUGGUGACUUUUUCUUAUCACAUUAGGAGUAAUAAUCAUCUUCAAGCACAUCCAUUGCCUUUACUGCUGUAAACCAUACUGCUGUCAUUGCCUGCAGCAUUUCUGUAGGAGCAGGUCAGUUGCAGCACAGCAUUGUACCCCAGCUGGUGCAGGUUACCAUUAUGAUGGUCUGUUUCCUCACAGUUUCCAAUGUACUAGACAUUUCUGUUUUGGAGUAUGCACAUUUGCACUCCCCUGUCAAAGCCUGCUGAGGACAACUACUACAAGCUUCUCAUAAUCCUGUGGUCCAGCCAACUGUCCUAUACAGGAAUCGGCACAGAAAGAGCAUGAGGUCUGUAUGCGCAUCCACAAAAGGAAGAGCAUAUGAGGUCAAAAUGCCAUCUCUGAAGGACUGCCAGAAGUUCAAAUGCAAAGGUAAGGCCAGAGCCACAUCAGGUAGCAGGUGUAAGAUUUUUCUGAGCACUCAAGUUCCCACUUCUCAGUCCACAUAUCCGUUGUUGAAAGCAGCAUAUUAGAAUUUCCUGCUACAUUGGUUCAUUGUCCAGGUGAUCCUUGAAUGCAGUAAAGUACCAUAAGUGUCAUCAGCUGCUAUCAGAGUGCUUCUUCCUUACAGCUCACUGUGGCAAAAACAGUUGUGCUCUGAUGGCAAUAGAGGUGUUGAGUUGCCCUCCUUUCUCCUGGCCUUUCUGUGUUUAAUUAUAUGGCCACCUAACUGAGCCUUUCACACCAUGAGUCACGCAAUGGCAUUGGCUUUCAAAGGAAAGAGUGGAAAACAUGACAGCUGUGCAUGUAGUUAGCUUUGUGCAGUGUUACAGCUCUUCUGCAUCUCAAAAUAACUGAGUAGCACUCAACAGCAGCCAUAGUGGGCAAGGUAACAGUAUUGUAAUUUGUAUCAGAAAAUUAUUACACAGUAGCAGUGCUGAGAAUUUCACAUUCAUGUUUUUGUUACCUCUGGAAAUCUAGCAAUGUCUCUUCGGUCAUUGCAUGCAGAUCCACGUACUCUGUGCUGACAUGGUUGCAAAGUUUUCUUCAAAAGGAAAGAUGGUAGUGGUUUUUAAAAGUUCUAGGUUUUUGUCUUGCUCACUUGGCAUAUCUGCCCUGCAAAGUACACCUUUGUAAUCAGAGUAGGUGAGGACAGGAGUUCUCCAGUGCUGUCAGCCAGUCAUAUUCAAACACUAUUUAUAAAAGGAUUUAGUGAAAUCAUAUGAUGUGAUCCUGAGUACAACCCCACCCACUGUAGUGCCUGAAAUGUCAUUUAUUUUGUGAGCCUUCCAAUGAGAGAAUUACUGCACUGAUGUCAGGGAGGGGGACAUCCUGUGCUCUUCCCUGUUACCUGAUGUGGUGUGCGUGCCUGGCUGAGCUCAUCUAUACUGGCAGAUUUGGAAAAAAAACUGAGUGUUUAGAUUUCACUAUAAGUGUACCAAUUGACUAGGCAGGACAUUAACUUAAGGGAAAAAAAAUGAGUUUGCCUCACAUGGCUACGCAGCCUAUGCAUCUAGCUAUUUACAGGAAAAGAGCAGUCAGCAGAGGACUAUCACUAAAAUCAAAUUAUGAGAACCUUUCCCAGCUGUCCUCAAGGUACAGAGCCUUACCUGUUUGUAGCAUAUGCUGGACAAGAUUUCAGUAGUUCUUGAGACAAAACUUUUCCUGCACAUGUGCACUGUGUUGCUUAUAGAGUUAUUACAAGCUGUUGUAAUAUUACUUCUAAUUGUUCUGAAUUAUUAUGAUAGGAAGGGUAGAUAGUGAUUUUUGUAAACUCAGACUGUACACUUGACCCUCCACUUAAGUCCCAUUCUGAAACUUCUUUCAGCAUCUGACACUGUAUAGAUAGAAUUCUGUUCUAUCCACUGAGAAUAAGAAUCAUCCCCUCCUUUGUUUUUCUCUACCUUUGAUAUGACUGUCCCUUUCUGAACAAUGGAUUGUGUGUCUUUCUGCUCUUUAACAUAAUUAUUCAGUGUAUGUGUUUUAAUUUUUACUUUUUUUAAUCUAAGCUCAAUCACCUAGGAAAAUAUAAUGCAGGAUGUGCCUCAAGAACAGAGAAGCAUUGUCAAUGCUCGAUGUCUAACAUAUAAGUCAAUAUAUUUGACCUAAAAUAAAUCUGAUGUGUUUACCCAGAGAGUAGAACACAGGUGAUUACUAUCAGAUUAUUACUACUGGCUUUGUUAGACUAAUAGUAGAAUACAAUUUCCAGUUCUGGGACUGGUACUUUGAAAAUAUGUUGUUUGGCAGUAUAGCCAGUAGUAUAGUGCAUCUUAGCAAGGAAAAAAAAGCAGAGAAAGGACUAUGAAGAAACAAUCUGUAGAAGCUGUAAGGAAAGUGAUACAGGAAAUAAUGCUCAAAUUUUUAACUGUGAAAAUUAUUUGAGUAAGAAAAGGAAGUGGUAAAUAAUCUUUUGAAUGUUUUCAAAUUCAAACUGUUUACUCUAAGACUUUUAGGCUUAAUACAGUGGUAACUUCUUUCUUCCACAAGAAGAGAGUGGAAGGCAUUUGACCUUCUGUUAUGCACUUAAUAGUACCCAAAAAUAGCAGGCAGGUUUUAUUUCCUGUGACAGCACACAUGAACUCAAAGAUAGAGACAGCCAUCUUUUUUUUUCUCUCAUAAUAAAUGCUCCUCUUCUACCUCAGAAGGAACACCAUCUGUCCAAGAAGAAAAUACACUCUUAUAAACCCUUUUUUCCAAUUGCUUGUCCCCACCAAGCAGGUACCUGUGGAACAGCUUGUUAUUCAGGGCAUUGUAAAUAUAAUGCAGUUUUUUUUUUUUUUUAAUCUUUGGCAGUUUACCUCCUCAAUCUGCAGGAACACAUCUGUAUGGCAAACAGGUAUACAGAUUAUAAGGUAAAUAGGUAUAGGACCAGAGAGAUUAUUGCAUUACAAAGGAGUAAUGAAAUAAAGAGCUUACCUGUAUCCUGGGCUCACAGAAGGGCUCCAAGAGAAGUGAUCUCCAGCUAAAGAUCCUUCCUCCUUGGGAGUCAGCCCUUAAAUGGUGUCUAGGCGGGGUGGAGCCAGGCUCCACCCCCUCUGGUCACUCAGGUGAAAUUGUGUUCACCUGUGCCCCUGCAGCUGACUCAGCGCUCGCCUCAGGUGGUCAAUCAGAGGUUCAGGCUGUGAUUCAACAGUUCCCAUACAACAUCGAAUGUUAAAGUGGGCAAAGAUAUUUUUAUUGCUGAAUGAGUCUGAUUUCCACUUUUGCAUUCUGCUAUUACAGUGCUUCUGUUUCCUGGCCUUUCCUUUACUCUUACAUGUUCCUGGACCACACCCCUAUAGGCUUACUGCUUUCAUUUGUCAUUUUAAUGCUGUUUUUUUUCAACAGUUCAUCUUCUUGACAUACGGACUUCCAUCCAGAUGAUAGUCCAUUAAAAGCUCAAGGGCAAAACAGGAUCUGGAAGACUGUAGUAUAAAGCUCUCAUCUACAUACUCUGAUUCUUUUGCUUGAGAAAAUAGUGUACUGAUAUAGGAGGUUUGAGAUUUUUUGUUGCUUUCUUUUCUUUUUUUCUACAUGCUCUCAAACUGACCUAACUAUACUUGAAAAAUGCUGGGUCAGGACAGGCUCCAUUUAUCCCAGAGUAUGUUUUGAGGACGUUUCCUAUGGCUUGGCAAUAGAAUAACUGGUAUGAUCAGAUAAACAUGGCUAUCUUGGCAUUGCGGGUGGCAUUUUCUUGGCAUUUUCUACAAAGACCACUUUUUUGUUGCUUACAAAGUACUGUUACACUAAACAAUCUCCUCAGUGUCAGUACAAUACAAUUCUAUAGAUUUCUGGGCUGCUGUGAUCUCAAAUUUCUAGGUCUGAUAGACAGACUUUAUGAUCACCUAUAGAACUGCUUCCUCUUUAGAAAUGAUUAUAUGAUGUUCACUAUAUAGCUGGGAAUAGUUAAUCAACAUGAAGCUAGCCUGUUUUGUAUAUUUUGAUAAUUUUCUUUUAAAUUACAUUGCUAAUUCUUUCUGUUAGUAAAAUAUGCAUGUUACUGAAAACCAGUUGUAUCGUAUCUCAGUUAAAUGUAUUUUUUAUUAAACUUCUUGAAGUACUGUUCAUUUAUUAAUACAUAUGAGCAUAACCAGUUUACCAAACCUUGAUCUUUUACACAUCAGGAACCUGUUAUAUCAUUUCUUAACACUAAUAUUUUUUUUGUGUGGCUGCUGUCCAGGCCUACGUGUCAUUUCCACUGACACUUUUUGGCAGUUCAAUAAAUAAUCCAGAUCCUGGGAUACUGUCCAUGCAGGGUCAGAUAUGUAUGUUGUGAUUUAUGCAUGAUUUUGACCUGUAGGAAUGGGUGUCACACUAUUUCUGUGAGCAGAUAGAUAGAACAAAAAAAAAAAAGAGGUAAAAGCUGCUAGCUAUCCAUCAGCAGUUCUCACUAAAUCUUAUGGAACACGUCAAAGUAGUGGACAUGCAGAGUGGCAGAUAAUAAGUAAGGAUGUCAGAGUCUUAUUUAUGAUAUAAGAAAUAUCUGGUAGGAUAGAAAGUAUACAAGGUUACAGGCGGUUUUAAAAUUGAGCUAGUAAUUUAUCCAGGAGCUAGAAAUUUCUGUAAUGACUGCUGACUUUCUGCUCUGGUGUUUAAAGUGAUGCUAAUUGAGCUUGGCAGAUUGGUUAGUUCCACUACAGUUAGUAUUACUGUACUUUUAUGUGGUUUUAUUUUGAUGUGCAAUAUAAUUUGAAUAAAUUAAACUGUGGUUAACCUAAAUUAUUAAUGAUUGCUGCAUGAAUACAAGGACUACAGGCAGGCCCAGAUAACACCUGCAAGGGAUUACUGAGACAAUAGCAAUAAAACAAUUGAUAAACACUGUUCCUUAAUUCUGUGAAACUUUUCAUACCUGUAGUGAUUUAAUGAGGUGAGAGAGACUACACACUGAAACAGGGAAUUCAAUAGAUUUCUUGCCUAAAUUGUCAUUGAUCUUUUACUGUUUACUGGACUUGGUUACUACUGCUGCAUUGGUUUCGCUGCAUGAAAUUGUGAGAGCUAAGAAUAAUGGGGGAACCUCUUAUUUUACAUGGGAGGGGAGAGGGGUAAGGAAAGGAGAUGGUGCAAAGGAUACCAAGGAACCUGCCUGAGUGAGAAAGGUUAUAAUAGAAAGAGGAAAGUUUUGCAGGAAAGGAGAAGGAGAAGAGAUGGCAUUUAUUGCUGGGAGUUCUACAAUUGCAUGUAAUUUUUUUUUUUUUUUUACCUGAAAAUAUUCAGAAUUUAAAGUUUCCCCAUAACUCACCAUUUCAGCAGGUUGGGUUUUCAGAUAAUUAGAACUGUAUUUUUCUUUCAUUUGCAGUUACUUUCUGAACAUAAAGAUGACUUACUUGCUGAGAAUAUUUUUAAGUAAUAAAAGAAAAUGCCUUUCAUUUAAACCACAAUUUAGGCUUAAUCCAGAAAAUAGAAGUAUAGCUUUUCCAUGCCUUAGAAGACAAACAUCUCAGUAUGAAGCCCUAUAUAGUGCUGCAGCUUUGUCAUCCUUGGUUAUAUAAACAAUGAAACCAUAAGACAGAGUAGGAAGACAGAUUAGCUGUGUUUGAUUCUACUUAAAUUUAAUGGGUCUUGACACAAUGAAGCAUACUAAGAGAGUCUUUAAAAUAACUUCAUUAGAAUAGUGUCCUUCAGCAAUAUAAGAGAAUAUAAAAGUGUGAUAUUAGGCAGAAACAAACAAAAAGUUGCGAAUAUUACAAUUAAUCUGCUCUUGAGCAUGCUAAAUAUUACCAAGAAUAAAUGAUAUUUUUGGGAUAAAAAAAUGACUUAAAAAUACCAGGUUGAAAUCAAAUUUAAAGAAAAAAUGUACAUUUUUUUAAUCUCGUCCCUUGGAAUAUUUCAAAGUGGAGGACUUCAUAUGAGGCUGUCUUACAAGCACAAUUGUAUGACUUUCUGAAAGAAGUACAUUUUUAUGACUUUAUUAGGCUCAGCAUAAAAGUAUCAGGUAACAUUCUGAGUCUAUGUUGUAAAGAUAUGAAAAUAUAUUUGUCUCUGAACUAUCCCAUCUAGGACUAAUUGUAGAUAUGUUUCUUAUUUGUUAAUUAAUAUCUGAUCAACCAUUUUCUACUACUUCCUGAACUAGGAAAGAAAAAGAGAUUUAAAAUUGUCCUUUUUGUGAGUAUCAAGCUAUUGGAAGUAUAUAUCUUUCUAGCCACUUAUAGACUACUUUGUUUCUUAAAUACUAUAUAUAUAGUAUUUAAUACAUAUACUAUAUAUGUGUAUGUAUAUAUAUAUAUAUGUAUAUAUAUUGGUAUUCCAAGUUUUGAACCAAAUCUGAUUGUAUAGGUAUUGAGAGUAGCAAAUAGCUCUACUGGAUUCAUUGUGAGCACAAAGAUCCAACUGAAGAGUAAGACCCCUAAUAGCAAAG
rnacentral:lncRNA from 1 species